AAUAAUAAUACCUCACUGCCUAUUUUCCAUACAUUUGUUCUCCACUUAUCGCGUAAUAAUAAUCACGGUGGUGAGAUGAUGAUGGGUCGACAUUAUCAUUGAAGGUCUACAACUGGUUCGUGUGAGCGUAAUAGUGCUUCACAGUAUAUGUAAUACGGAGCAGGAGAGGUUAUGAAAUCAGAGCAACCGAUAUAUUCUUCAUUUCAGUCAUUACUUGCACUUUGAUAGAGAGUCAUUAAAUUAUUGAUUUUUCAAUAGCGUCGUUUCACCACUGGAAAGAUUAAAUGCAAUAAAAUUCAAGUUUCACACAAGAAUCACAUAGUGCUGCUAAAAUCUGUCAUUGUCAUUGUGCAUUGUCAUGAGACGACUGGACUAAGCAAUCUCAAGGAUGUUAUUUUCUCGUAACAAAAAGAUAACGAACUGAUUAUUCCUCGAUUCACUAGUCAUUACUCUCCUCUCAAUUCUGCGACAGAGGGACAAAAUGGAAGAUUUUCUCGUCUAUAGCCUCACCUAUAAUGUAGCAACUCGGUUUCCGGGACCAGGAGAUGACUUUCGCCCAAUUCUUGGGCUCGACACGAGUUCCUCGUCCACAUCCACCUACGUCAAAAUUCCAGACAUGUACAUCAUUGCACUCCAAGAAGUCAAGGCCCAACCACAGAAUAUGGUGUGGGACACGUUGUUUGAUGACCCUUGGACGGCCAAAGUGAAAGAUGCAUUGGCUCCUUUCAGCUUUGUCAAAAUCCACACCCUGCGCAUGCAGGGAUUGGUGACCAGCUUGUAUUUGAAACGGAGUCACUUGGUUUACCUUCGGGACGUGGAGACCCUUUGGACAAGGAGGGGUUUUGGGGGGAUGUGGGGUAACAAAGGGGCAGUUUCCAUCCGCCUCGUGCUCCACGGGUGCUCUCUCUGUAUAGUCAACUGUCAUUUGACCCCACAUGACCACAUGCUCAAAGAGAGGAUAUCUGAUUACCAAGAAAUUCUUCAUGGACAAACUUUCUCCUAUCAAGAAACGUCCAAUAUUUUAUUUCACGACUACGUAUUCUGGAUGGGAGACUUUAAUUUCCGCCUCAAUGGAAACACGACAUCGGAUGAGAUUGUGGACGGUGUGUCAAAUGGAAAAUGCUCAGAACUUUUAAAAGAGGACCAACUACUUCAAGUUCGAAUGAGUGGAGAAGCUUUUUCUGAACUCCACGAACUCCCAAUUACAUUUCCACCUACGUACAAAUUUGAAACUGGAGUUGACAACUAUGAUUCCAAACGAAGACCUGCCUGGACUGAUCGGAUACUGUACCAUGUGAAUGCCAGUGCGUAUGAUAACGUGACAUUAAAAGUCGAGGGAAAUAAUUACAAGGCCCAUAUGCCUUUCAGAUGUAGCGACCACCGUCCUGUGACUGCAUCCUUUCAAAUCCGUGUCUUCCGACCCACCACACUUAAACUGGUCGACUUUGUCAAUGUUCCUCUUUGGUAUACUGGAGAAAGUAAUAAAGUGUUCUUCAAAGUAGUUCCAACUCUAGAAACGUCCCCGGACGACUGGAUCGCUAUUUUUAAGGCAGAUUUUACAAGCAUUGAUGAUUAUGUGGCGUAUGUCUACGCAACCCUGCCUCACAUUGAUGCGGAAGAGGAGGGUAGAGUGUCGACAGAUGAGUCAAGUGGGGAGCGCAGCGUCACAUUUUCCGAAAACAGUAUCAACUUUGACGGCUCGUACGUUCUCAUGUACUUUGCCCACGCAUCUCGAUCCAUCUAUGGUAUGAGCAAUGUCUUUGAAUCAGCGUCCAGAGGAUUGGCCGCAGGUGCGGACCUAUAGAUAUUAAUACAGUGUAUUUCAUAAAAACUGUCCAAAUCUAGAGAUCAAAUUAUGUAUGUACAUGCAUGUACGAGCUAAGUAAACUGAUCAGUAAUACGCUGAGCAAGCGCUCUCAAGUGACGAUUAGCACAAAAUUGAUAUUAUAAAGCCUUAUUAUCUAGCAGAUAAUUGUCUAGUAAUAACUGGGCGUCCUUUAUUUAUGAAUGUGUCAAUUCAAUACACAAAUUUUUAUUACGAUAUUGCAUUUGGCAUGCACAUGCUUGUCAGAGUCUUGGGAUUAACGAAAGUGGGAUUAAUGAUUAGGAUUACGGAUUGAUUUUAAAAAAUUCGGGAUUGAGGAUUGAGAUUAGGGAUUAAAUUAACUCGGGAUUAAAUCUCUCAAGUCAUUCAAUGGGAUUAGGGAUUAGGAUUAAUUUAGUCCAAUUUUAAUCCCGGAAUGGGAUUAAAGUCGUGUUUAUCGUCGAUCACAUUUAUAUCUAGUUAAUGUUUCUGAUGUCUUAAUUAAAUUGUUUUAUAAGUCUUAACAGUGCGAUUGAAUUUGAAUAACCUAAUGACCAUAUAAAUAAUGACCUAAAGUCUGGAUUAAUAAUUAGGUACCCAUUUAUGCAGCAUAAUGUUUGUUAAAUUUUAGCAUCUCUGUAUUAAUAACUGCUACUUAAUUUUAUCCAAGUUGAUAACCUUUUAUCCUGUUGCAUUUGUUUAAUAUGUUAUAGUAAACAGCAGAAAAUUUAAAAGUGGCAAUAAAACUGUAAUAUGUAA